rnacentral:rRNA from 1 species
AACGAACGCUGGCGGCGCGUCUUAAGCAUGCAAGUCGAACGGCAAGAUUGGUGCUUGCACCGAUCCUAGAGUGGCGGACUGGUGAGUAACGCGUGGGUGACGUACCCUAAGGAUGGGGAUAGCUGGUAGAAAUAUCAGAUAAUACCGAAUAUCCUUAUUGUUGUUAGAGGACAGUAAGGAAAGGAGCUUUGGCUUCGCCUAAGGAUCGGCCCGCGUACUAUUAGCUAGUUGGUGAGGUAACGGCUCACCAAGGCGACGAUAGUUAUCCGGCCUAAGAGGGUGAACGGACACAUUGGGACUGAGAUACGGCCCAGACUCCUACGGGAGGCAGCAGCUAAGAAUAUUCCGCAAUGGAGGAAACUCUGACGGAGCGACGCCGCGUGGAUGAUGAAGGCCGGAAGGUUGUAAAAUCCUUUUAAGCAAGAAGAAUAAACUUUACAGGGAAUGGUAGAGUGGUGACGGUAUUGCUUGAAUAAGCAACGGCUAAUUACGUGCCAGCCGCCGCAGUAAAAC